GAUCGAAUGGCGGAAUGGCAGACGCGCAGCACUAAGGAUGCUGUGUCUUAUGACGUGAGAGUUCAAGUCUCUUUUCGAUCACCA
rnacentral:tRNA from 1 species